CUUAGUGCUAUCACGUUAAGAUUACCAAAGUGCAUUCUUUCCUUUCCUAGGUUAACGAACCGUGAAUCAUGUGGGGCACAUACCCACAUUCCACAGGCCGUGGUGUGCAAGUAUGGCCACACAUGACUAAGGGAAAGGGUUUCAUGACGUAUUGGACAGGCAUGUCACAUUAUUCAUGUGAAUGGGCCACGACACUGAAGUUGCGAUGUCGCACUCACCAUUGAUGUUCUUUCAGGUGCUGCUUCUAUUGUUCUUGUGCCAGCUGUCACCCAUCACGCCGGCACCACUACGACUGGUUUUGCCACAAGCGUCUUGGUGUCGUGAUGUCGCAGAGAAUUGUUGUGUGACCACAUCGUCAGCAAAGUAUGAAGCAUCAUCAUUUCCACCGCAUCCCGUCUCGCAAUUCUGGAUGGUACAGCGUUCUCCAUUCAGCAAGAUGGAACAGUCAGUGAACAAAUCUGCGCAAUACUGUUGCAUUGUGGAAAUCAUACAGGUACCAUGGGUGUUAAGAAGUUUUGAUAUUCCUUCUAUGUAAUAUAAAUUCGAGAUUUAAAGAUAAUUAAAUGAAAUAAAGCUUCUCUGACAAUUUUUAUUUACACAA
rnacentral:lncRNA from 1 species